rnacentral:rRNA from 1 species
UGGGGAAUCUUCCGCAAUGGACGAAAGUCUGACGGAGCAACGCCGCGUGAGUGAUGACGGCCUUCGGGUUGUAAAGCUCUGUUAAUCGGGACGAAUGGUUCUUGUGCAAAUAGUGCGAGGAUUUGACGGUACCGGAAUAGAAAGCCACGGCUAACUACGUGCCAGCAGCCGCGGUAAUACGUAGGUGGCAAGCGUUGUCCGGAAUUAUUGGGCGUAAAGCGCGCGCAGGCGGAUUGGUCAGUCUGUCUUAAAAGUUCGGGGCUUAACCCCGUGAUGGGAUGGAAACUGCCAAUCUAGAGUAUCGGAGAGGAAAGUGGAAUUCCUAGUUUAGCGGUGAAAUGCGUAGAUAUUAGGAAGAACACCAGUGGCGAAGGCGACUUUCUGGACGAAAACUGACGCUGAGGCGCGAAAGCCAGGGGAGCGAACGGG